GGUAUGCACUGGCUUCGCUGGUUCCUCCUUUCUGAAGAACUGUUAUGCCAUUAAUUUGGUGUUGCAGGGAAACAGGACUGUUACUUUGAAAAAAUUAGAGUGUUUAAAGCAGGCUAAGGCUUGAAUACAUUAGCAUGGAAUAAUGAAAUAGGACGUUCGAUCCUAUUUUGUUGGUUUCUAGGAUUGACGUAAUGAUUAAUAGGGAUAGUUGGGGGCAUUAGUAUUCAAUUGUCAGAGGUGAAAUUCUUGGAUUUAUUGAAGACUAACUACUGCGAAAGCAUUUGCCAAGGAUGUUUUCAUUAAUCAAGAACGAAAGUUAGGGGAUCGAAGACGAUCAGAUACCGUCGUAGUCUUAACCAUAAACUAUGCCGACUAGGGAUCGGAUGAUGUUAAUUUUUUAAUGACUCAUUCGGCGCCUUACG
rnacentral:rRNA from 1 species